ACCAUUGGCUUAAGGAAGCUAUAAGAAAUGUGUUUCUCGCUAAGCAGGGUUGAGCCUGGUUAGUACUUGGAUGGGAGACCCCUUAGGAAGACCAGGUGCUGUAGGUG
rnacentral:rRNA from 1 species